GGGGGCGAACUAGUUUCGACGGGGAGAGUGAGAGUAAAAGGAGCGAGCCGAGAUCCCACCUGGUCUCGUUAAACGGUGGAAACAAAUAAACGCAGACAAUUACGCAUUAGCUGCUUAAUUCACAGCAGCACGUCUAACCUUCCUCGCUUGUAGGGAAGGAUUAGACGUCAACUAUACAAGCUACCCAAAGCCUUUCGUUGCCGAAGGCUGCGGGGAAAUUUAAAGGCAACUAGCCUUCUGUCAUCCUGCCUUUGGGAGGGCAGCAGGUGAAAACAAAACAAAGGCUACGCUCGUAGAGCCUUUUAUUGUCACCUUUUCGGACGCGGGGGGCAGUUCCCCGCCGCCUCCACCA
rnacentral:tmRNA from 1 species